CACGUAAGCAACCUGCCCCGAAGACCGGGACAACAGCUCGAAAGGGCUGCUAAUACCGGAUGUGGCCAUACCCUUGCAUGUGGGUGUGAUUAAAUCCAGCAAUGGGCUUCGGGAGGGGCUUGUGGCCUAUCAGCUAGUUGGUGGGGUAACGGCCUACCAAGGCGAAGAUGGGUAGCUGGUCUGAGAGGACGAACAGCCACACUGGGACUGAGACACGGCCCAG
rnacentral:rRNA from 1 species